rnacentral:rRNA from 1 species
CAAGUCGAACGGCAGCGCGGGGCAACCUGGCGGCGAGUGGCGAACGGGUGAGUAAUAUAUCGGAACGUACCCUGGAGUGGGGGAUAACGUAGCGAAAGUUACGCUAAUACCGCAUACGAUCUAAGGAUGAAAGUGGGGGAUCGCAAGACCUCAUGCUCCUGGAGCGGCCGAUAUCUGAUUAGCUAGUUGGUGGGGUAAAGGCCUACCAAGGCAUCGAUCAGUAGCUGGUCUGAGAGGACGACCAGCCACACUGGAACUGAGACACGGUCCAGACUCCUACGGGAGGCAGCAGUGGGGAAUUUUGGACAAUGGGCGCAAGCCUGAUCCAGCAAUGCCGCGUGAGUGAAGAAGGCCUUCGGGUUGUAAAGCUCUUUUGUCAGGGAAGAAACGGUGGAGGCUAAUAUCCUUUGCUAAUGACGGUACCUGAAGAAUAAGCACCGGCUAACUACGUGCCAGCAGCCGCGGUAAUACGUAGGGUGCAAGCGUUAAUCGGAAUUACUGGGCGUAAAGCGUGCGCAGGCGGUUUUGUAAGUUUGUCGUGAAAUCCCCGGGCUCAACCUGGGAAUGGCGAUGAAGACUGCAAGGCUAGAAUCUGGCAGAGGGGGGUAGAAUUCCACGUGUAGCAGUGAAAUGCGUAGAGAUGUGGAGGAACACCGAUGGCGAAGGCAGCCCCCUGGGUCAAGAUUGACGCUCAUGCACGAAAGCGUGGGGAGCAAACAGGAUUAGAUACCCUGGUAGUCCACGCCCUAAACGAUGUCUACUAGUUGUCGGGUUUUAAUUAACUUGGUAACGCAGCUAACGCGUGAAGUAGACCGCCUGGGGAGUACGGU